rnacentral:ncRNA from 1 species
AAGGAGAACGCUGAAAAUCCUUAACAGAGUAGGCA